rnacentral:rRNA from 1 species
AUGCCGUCCCUUGGCCCCGUCGCCUGCUGCUCCCCCACGCAAGCAAUGGUGGGUGCUUGUGCCCGCCCGCCGGCCCAGACACGCACGCCAGAGUCAGAGGCGCGCGCUGCCCGCCGCGAGAGGCAGCGGGUAAGGGAGAGGGACGCGGUGGAGAGCUCUGUCCGCCGCCGCCGCCGCGGGUUACCCGCGGAGCCUGACGAGGACGAGCAGCUCCUCGCGUGGGUCUACCAUCGGUCGCUUACGACGACAGAGACAGACGUUCGGUGGCUCCGCCGAAAGAAUGUGAAGGCUCUCCGGCUAGCUAUCGAGCAGUCCGAGCGCGAGGCCAGGGAGAAGGCGAUGGAGGCGGCUCGGCUGGCGAAGCUCAAGCGGCAGCAGGACCGGACCGUCCGACGCCUCAAGGGCCUCAUCAUCGUCUCCUCCUCCUCCUCCCCAGACGGCUCCUCCACCAGCCGCGGAUGGCUACAGCUAUGCCGGCGAUCGGAAGGGGAAGGGGCCGGCCUGAAAGUGGUGAAGAUAUGCUUUUCUUCAAUUUAA